UUCUUCUUCCACUAGGCUGGACAACUUUAAUGGAGUCCUGACCUGAUCAGAAGUGACCAGGUUUCCCUGCUUCCACAAGAGCUCAUAUAUGCUAGUGAUCCUCCUUGUCCUGAGACCCUGAAGAAGGAAUAUGAUCUGGAUCUGUGUAUGGGCAAUGGGACAAGAGUCGUGCACCCACAACCAACAAUGGAACUCCUGUAAUCACCUUCUGAGCAGUCAACUGAUCCCUCCCUACCAUUUGUACUGAGAGCUCAGAAUGGCUUUGCAGCUGAUUCAGCUACCCCCAGGACCUGUUGCCAUGAAUCUCUAGUAAGGACUUCUGAGGGUGGAGCCAAGAUGGUGGAGUAAUCCAGAAUAGCAUUGUGCCACCACAAGAAUCAUCUUUGACCAAGAUUAAAAUAUCACCACAAAAGGAAUACAGGAGUGAAAGAACCAACAAGGAGACAGAAUGAAACAACUUUUAAGAAAAGAAAAACCCAAAGGGUAGACAAAGAACAUCUGGGGCACUGUAGUAAGCGAAGAGCAGGACCAGCAAGAAGCUGUAGCAAGGAUGGACAAAGCAAGCCACACUCCCACACCCCACAUCUUCUGUCCGAGGUUCAGAAUCUAUCCCUAAGCCAACAUCCAGAACCUGAGAUCCUGCCUGGGCAAAUAGUGGUACAGGCCAACCCAUACAAUUGAACUGAAAAACAAAUAAGAAAGAAGUAAGGGAAGAGAAUGAGAUGCUAGAAAAAUUAGUUAAUAGAUAUCUGGAAAAAACUGAACAGGGAUAAAAAGGAAUAUACCUUCUCAACAGUAUAUGGUACAUAUACAAAGAUUGGCCAUGUAAUAGGGAAUAGAAAUAUUGCAAACAAAUGUAGAAAAGCAGAAAUAAUAAAUGCCACUUUUUCAUAUCAUAAUGUGAUAAAAAUUAUACUUAACAAGGGUCCAUGGAAAGGCAAAUUCAAAAUUAAUUGGAGACUAAAUUAUCUAAUUCUUUGAAACUGGUGGGUCAAAACAGAAAUCAUAGAAAUAAUUAUGAACUUCAUUAUGGAGAAUGACAAUGAGGAGAGAGCAUAUCAAAAUCUAUGGGAUAUAGCCAAAGCAGUACUCAGGGGAAAAUUUAUAUCUCUGAGAGCCUUUAUCAACAAAAUGGAGAGGGAAAAGAUCAAUGAAUUGGACUUGCAAAUUAAAAAAUUAAAAAAAGAACAAAUUAAAAAUCCUCAGAUUAAAAACUAAAUUGGAAAUCCUAAAAAUUAAAGGAGAACUUAAUAAAAUUGAAAGUAAAGGAACUAUUGAACUAAUUAACAAGAAUAGGAGCUUUUUCUUUGAAAAAACAAACAACAAAUAAAAUAAAGUACUGGUUAAUAAAAAAAGAAAGAAGAGAAACAAAUUAACAGUAUCAAAGAUAAAAAGGGUGAUCUCAACUCUAAUGAAGAGGAAAGUAAGGCAAUUAUUAAGAACUAUUUUGCUCAUUUAUGUGGAAAUAAAUAUGACAAUCUAGGUGAAAUGGGUGAAUAUUUACAAAAAUAUAAGUUGCUUACAUUAACAAAAGAGGAAUUAGAAUACUUAAAUAACCCCAUAUCAGAAAAAGAAAUUGAACAAUCCAUCAAGGAACUUCCUAAGAAAAAAAUCCCCAGGGCCAGAUGGAUUCAGAAAUGAAUUCUAUCAAACAUUUAAUGAACAACUAAUCCCAAUAAUAUACAAAUUAUUUGAUCAAAUAAGCAAAGCAGUCAUCUUACCAAAUUCUAUUUAUGACAUAAAUAUAGUAUUGAUUCCAAAGUCAGGCAGACAAAAAACAGAGAAAUAAAACUACAGACCAAUCUCCUUAAUAAACAUAGAUGCAAAAAUCUUAAAUAAAAUACUAACAAAAAGACUACAGCGAGUUAUGUAAAGGGUGAAAUUAUGGUUGAGACUGAAAAAAAAAAAUCUAAAUUUAAGUGGUCGCCAAGGGAAAUCCCAAAUAAUAAAAUACCCAAGUCAGCUGCCAAAUUUUAUGGUGAUUUAAUUGAUAGUGGAGAAGAUUAAGAAGAAGAAGGAGUAUAUUUUUUUCUCUCCCUCUCCCCCUGCCUGAUUAGUAUCGGGUGGGGAGAUCAGGAGAUAAAGGAGUAAGGGUUUGGAGUAUGUAGGAGGAAGGAAUCAGCCUGACCUCCAAAGGGGUUCAGCUAAGAUGCCCAAACCUGAAAUCAGCUCUAGGGCAAAACUCACCAUCCAACACUCCAAGAUGUCGGAAUGCUUAGUAUGCUGCCAGUCAGAGUCAACUCUCCAGGGAAAGAGGAAGGGCCAGGAAGUGUUGUGUCUUAUAUGGAUGUUUUUACAUCAUUUUUCUGCAUCUCAUCUAUACCAAUGAGGACUUAGCUUGACUUAGGAUAGCCCAGAGGUCUGUCCUUUUUUUUGCACAUGUCUGUUGAAGGCCAUCUCCUCAGAUAAUUAAAUCUUGAGUUUGAUGUAGACCUUCAAAAUCUUGUUAAACUGAGUAGGGUGGAGAAUGUAGAGUUUCCAAGACCUGGUUCUGUUAUUCCAAGUAUCUCCAUUGUUACUGAUCAUGAAAUAGCUAAAUCACAUCUUCUAAUGAAUGGUCUGGUUACAGUGGAAUAGUUUUGAAAUUCACAGUUAUCACAAGGAUUAUCCACUAUGACCAGGUGGAAUUUAUACCAGGAAUGCAAGGAUGUUUUAAUAUUAGGAAAACCAUCAAUAUAGUUGAGUGUAUCAAUAAUCAAACCAACAGAAAUCACAUGAUUAUCUCAAUAGAUGCAGAAAAAGCCUUUGACAAAAUACAACACCCAUUCCUAUUGAAAACAUUAGAAAGUAUAGGAAUAGAAGGGCCAUUCCUCAAAAUAAUAAAUAGUAUAUAUUUUAAACUCUCAACAAGCAUCAUCUACAAUGGAGGUAAGUUAGAAGCCUUUCCAAUAAGAUCAGUAGUGAAGCAAGAAUGCCCAUUAUCAUCUCUAUUAUUUAGCAUUGUACCAGAAACAUUAGCAGUAGCAAUUAGAGAAGAAAAAGAAAUCAAAGGGAUUAAAGUAGGCAAUGAGGAGACUAAACUAUGACUCUUUGCAUGUGAUAUGAUGUUCUACUUAAAGAAUCCCAGAAAAUCAUCUCAAAGGCUAGUGUAAAAAAUUAACAACUUUAGCAAAGUUGCAGGGUACAAGAUAAACCCACAUAAAUCAUCAGCAAUUCUGUAUAUUUCCAAUAAAACUCAUCAACAGGAGUUAGAAAGAGAAACUCCAUUCAGAAUCACCCUAGACCAUAUAAAAUAUUUAGAAAUCUAUCUACCAAGGCAAACAUAGGAAUUGUACAAAUAGAACUACAAAACACUUUUCACACACUUAAGACUAGAUCUAAAUAAUUGGGAAGAAUUAAUUGCUCAUGGGUAGGAUGAGCUAAUAUAAUAAAAACAACAAUUCUACCCAAAUUGAUCUACUUAUUCAGUGCCAACCCUAUCAAACUACCAAAAAACUUAUUUUUAUAGAAUUAGAAAAAAAUACAACAAAGUUUAUCUGGAAGAAAAAAUAGCAAGAAUAUCAAGAGAAAUAAAGAAAAAAAAUGUGAAGGAUGGGGCCUAGUAGUACCAGAUCUUAAACUGUACUAAAAAGCAGUGGUUAUCAAAACAAUAUGGUACUGGCUAAGAGACAGAAGGGUGUAUCAGUGGAAUAAUCUAGGAUUAUAUGAUCUCAAGUAAACUAGUGUUUGAUAAACCUAAAGAUCCUAGUUUCUGGGACAAGAACUUGCUAUUUGACAAAAACUCUUGAAAAAUUGGAAAACAGUAUGGAAAAAAAUUAGGUUUAGAUCAACAUCUCGUACCCUAUAUAUACCAAGAUAAAUCCAAAAUGGAUAAAUGACAUAUAUAAAGAGGGAAAUUAUAAGUAAAUUAGGUGAAUAUAACCUAGUAUACCUUUCAAGUCUGUGGGAAAGGAAGGAAUUUGACCAAGCAAGAGGUAGAGAACAUUACAAAAUGUAAAAUGAAUUUCUUUGAUUAUAACAAAUUAAAAAGGUUUUGUACAAACAAAACAAAUGCAACUAAAUUAGAAGGAAAGCAACAAACUGGGGAAAAAUUUAUAACAAAACUCUCUGACAAAGGUUUAAUUUCCCAAAUAUGUAAGGAACUAAGUCAAAUUUACAAAAAAUCAAGCCAUUCUCCACUCAACAAAUGGUCAAGGGACAUGAAUAGGCAGUUUUCAUAUGAAAUCAGAACUAUCAAUAAGCAUAUGAAAAAUUGUUCUAAAUUCCUCCUGAUUAGAGAAAUGCAAAUAAAAACAACUCUGAGGUACUACCUUAUACCUGGUAGACUGACCAAUAUGGCAGCAAAGGAAAGUGAUAAAUGUUAGAAAACAUGUGACAAAAUUUGGACAUUGAUACACUGCUGGUGGAGUUGUGAAUUGGUCCAACCAUUCUGGAGGGCAAUUUGGAAUUAUGCCUAAAGGGCUUUAAAAGACUGCCUGCCCUUUGAUCCAGCCACACCACUGCUGAGUUUGUGCCCCAAAGAGAUAAUAAGGAAAAAGACUUGCACAAAAAUAUUUAUAGCUACACUCUUUGUUGUGGCAAAAAAAUUGGAAAAUGAGGGUGUGUCCAUCGAUUGGGAAAUGGCUGAACAAAUUGUGGUAUAUUUUGGUGAUGGAAUAUUAUUGUGUUGAAAGCAAUAAUGAACUGAAGGAAUUCCAUGUGAACUGGAAAGACCUCCAGGAAGUGAUGCAGAACAAAAGGAACAGAACCAGGAGAACAUUGUACACAGAGACUGGUACACUGUGGCACAAUCGAAUGUAAUGGAUUUCUCUACUAGCAGCAAUGCUAGGACAAUCCUAGGACAAUCCAGAGGAAUUUAUGAGAAAGAACACUAUUCACAUCCAGAGAAAGAACUGCAGAAAUGCAGAAGAAAAACAUACGAUUAAUCACAUGUUUCAAUGGAGAUAUGAUUGGGGUUUGGGUAUUAAAAGAUCACUCUACUGCAAAUAUGAAUAACACAGAAAUAGGUCUUGAACAUGUAUAACCCAGUGGAAUUGCUUGUCAGAUCCAAUGUAGGGAGGGAAUUGGGGGGAAUCAUGAAUCAUGUAACUAUGGGAAAAUAUUCUAAAUAAAUUUUAAAAAGAAUAUUAAGUGCUGGUCCUAAGGCAGAAGAGUGGUUAGGGCUAGGCAAUUAGGAUUAAAUCACUUGCCCAGGGUCACACAGUUAGAAAUUAUCCUAACGUCAGAUUUGAAUCUAGCACCUCCUGUCUCCAGGCCUGGCUCUCUAGGCACUGAGCCAACUAGCUACCCCAUUUAUUUUCGUUCAGAAUUUAAAAAAUUGAAUUUUGAAUGGAGAAUCCAUAUAGCAUAGUGGAUAGAUAGAUAAUCCUAGAGUCAGAAAGAUUUAGUUUGAAAUUUUGCCUGUAAAACAUACUGACUAUGUGAUCCUGGCUAUGUCACUUAAUAUUUAAGUGCCCCAUGCAACACUUAGUCUAUCAGUCAGUCAAUAAACACUUAUCAAGUACAUUCUAUGUCCUAGACAAUGUAUUAAGCCCUGGGGAUGCAAAGAAAGGCUAUAAGUUAAAU